CCGUUCGCGUCAAGAGUCCCGUUUUUCGUUAACGCAUUAUCAUUGGCCACUUGACCACCGAACGCCGCGAGGGGUGCAACAAUGUAUCACCGCGCAUCGCACUUGCACUGCACCGCCUCACCGACUGCUUGUUGAUGCAGAUGCAGGGUAACAAAACCCGUUUGCCGUCUUCGGACCGUCCCGAAUCGUCAACCGGUACUGGGAGCAAGUAAGCUAGCUGCGCGUGGCGGAGAACCGGACCGUAGCUGGGGAGCUGCCGCGGUAAGACUAUCGACGACGCGACGGCGGGAAACUCACGGCAGGUCUCGGCCGAAGUGGCAGGGGUAAAAAACUAGGUUUCUUUUGCAACGUGCUUCGUAACAACAGCUCAUCAUUCGGUAGGUAAUUACUGCCAUUCCAGUCAGCUAGCAAGCGCCCGAACGGUCUGCGAAGAAGUAGUGGAAGUGGUACGUACCACGAUGACCAUCACCAUCACCGUCACAGUGGAGAGCCGUAAGGCAUGCAUAGGUAUAGAGAAGAGAAAGGUAUCGACUCAGCAACAACAGUGGGUCUCUAGUAAAGCUAGUGAAAGUUUUGCCUUUGCAAAUUUUGACUGUGCGGAACCAUAGGAGGCUGGUGGGAAAUGACCCGGGGAGAAUAGGGAAUUACCUGAACGUGCUGUACAACUAUAUGGAGAGAAGGAGUAGUGAAAAAACGGCGGAGUAUCCCGCAGUUCGGAAAGGUUGACAAAAAUGGAAUACAAUCGUAGGGGCUGAUGAAUAUUGCCGUUGCGAAAAUCGAAUGCAAUAAAAAUAGAUUUUUAUUUUGGUGGAAUUUAAA